AACAGAACACUAAACAGUUUCACAGAAAGCUUCUUUACAGUUUUUAUCUGAGGAUAUUUUCUUUUUCACCAUAGCCCUCCAUGGGCUUGCAAAUAUCACUUUGCAUAUUCCACAAGAACAGUCUUAGCGAAAGGCUUCUUGAGGGGAAAGCUGUAACUCUGUGAGAUGAUUUCACAGAACACAAAGAAGUUUCUCAGAAAGCUUCUUUCUCUUUGUUAUCGGAGGAUAUUUCCUUUGGCCCUAUAGUCUUCAAAGGGAUCCGAAAUAUCCGUUCUCAGAUUCCACAGAAAUAGGGCUAGCAAACAGAUCCACGAAAUACAGAUGUAACUCUGUGAGUGAAAGUCACACAUCACAAAGCAGUUUCUGAGAAGCUUCUUAUCAGUUUUUCUCAGAGGAUAAUUUGUUUUUCACCAUAGCCCUCUAGGGGCUUCCAAAUAUCACUUUGCCAAUUCCACAAGAACAGGCUUAGCGAACGGCUUCUUGAGGGGAAAGCUGUAACUCUGUGAGAUGAAUUCACAGAACACUAAGCAGUUUCUCAGAAAGCUUCUUUCCAGAUUUCAUGUGAGGAUAUUUCCUUUUCACCGUAGCCCUCUAUGGGCAUGAAAUAUCCUUUACCAGUCCUAGAACUGGCGAAAGGCUUCUUGAGGGAAAAGCUGUAUCUGUGUGAGAGAAACUAACAGAACACUAACAUGUUUCUCAGAAAGCUUCCUUCCAGAUUUCAUCUGAGGAUAUUUCCUUUUUUCCCUUAGCCUCUAUGGGCAUCGAAAUAUCACUUUGCCAAUUCCACAUGUACAGCAGGAGCUGAGCGAAAGGCUGUGAGACAGAAGCUGC
rnacentral:lncRNA from 1 species